GGCAGGAGCUUUUGUUCGCCCAGCAGGUCCCAGUUCGUAGCACGGGUUGGCCGGAGCCCCUCAGUGGCUCAACUUGGAGCGGGGCGGGGGCAGGGCCCGGACCUCAGACCCCGGACUUGUUUUGUUUGGAACCCUGAACGGUCCUUGGGCUUCGGUUGCCAUGGAAACUCGCAUUCAAAGGACAGAGGCCGCUUUUACCGACUUCUCAGAGACAAGCCAAGAAGGUCCUCAACCGGUGUGCACACCCACGCACACACACACGCUCUCGAAUGUGCCUUUGGAAUGAGAGGAAGAGGUUUCACCAACACUCAGAUUAGACUGGCUGGUGACAAAGAGACCGAGGCUAUCAUGGGACACAAACCUUCAACAAGUGGUAGGUAUGUGUUUAGUUGGCUCGAGGGGAUGAAGCGUUGCCUCAUUCUAAGUUUAUGAUAAUGAAAUUGUGCCCAGGUGUCCUGCCAGAGAAUGCUAGGAACAAACAUGUCAAGUUUCUACCUGUUGCCAAUUUCAGGAAAGGCAAAUGGUAA
rnacentral:lncRNA from 1 species